AGAGUUUCGUAGUCCUCGGCGUCAGGACGAACGCUGGCGGCGUGCUUAACACAUGCAAGUCGAACGGAAAGGCCCUGCUUUUGUGGGGUGCUCGAGUGGCGAACGGGUGAGUAACACGUGAGUAACCUGCCCUUGACUUUGGGAUAACUUCAGGAAACUGGGGCUAAUACCGGAUAGGAGCUCCUGCUGCAUGGUGGGGGUUGGAAAGUUUCGGCGGUUGGGGAUGGACUCGCGGCUUAUCAGCUUGUUGGUGGGGUAGUGGCUUACCAAGGCUUUGACGGGUAGCCGGCCUGAGAGGGUGACCGGCCACAUUGGGACUGAGAUACGGCCCAGACUCCUACGGGAGGCAGCAGUGGGGAAUAUUGCACAAUGGGCGGAAGCCUGAUGCAGCAACGCCGCGUGUCGGGAUGACGGCCUUCGGGUUGUAAACCGCUUUCGCCUGUGACGAAGCGUGAGUGACGGUAAUGGGUAAAGAAGCACCGGCUAACUACGUG
rnacentral:rRNA from 1 species